UUGCUCUGCUCCCCCGCCCCCAG
rnacentral:miRNA from 1 species